rnacentral:rRNA from 1 species
CCUACGGGUGGCAGCAGUGAGGAAUAUUGGGCAAUGGGCGGGAGCCUGACCCAGCCAAGCCGCGUGAAGGAAGAAGGUACAGCGUAUCGUAAACCUCUUUUGUCAGGGAACAAAGGCGGGGACUAGUCCCCGGAUGAGGGUACCUGAAGAAAAAGCAUCGGCUAACUCCGUGCCAGCAGCCGCGGUAAUGCGGGGGAUGCGAGCGUUGUCCGGAUUUGUUGGGUUAAAGGGGUGCGCAGGCGGCCUGUUAAGUCAGCGGUAAAAGCCCGGGGCUAAACCCAGGCGAGCCGUUGAAACUGGCGGGCUGGAGUUGGAGAGAGGUACGCGGAAUGCGCGGUGUAGCGGUGAAAUGCUUAGAUAUCGCGCAGAACCCCGAUUGCGAAGGCAGCGUACUGGCUCCAAACUGACGCUGAGGCACGAAAGCGUGGGUAUCGAACAGGAUUAGAUACCCCUGUAGUC